rnacentral:rRNA from 1 species
CACGCGGGCUACAAUGGUGGGACAAUGGGUAUCGACACCGAAAGGUGAAGGCAAUCUCCUAAACCCAAUCCGUAGUUCGGAUUGUGGGCUGCAACUCGCCCACAUGAAGCUGGAAUCUGUAGUAAUCGUGUCUCAAAAUGGCACCGGUGAAUAUGUCCCUGCUCCUU